AUUGAACGCUGGCGGCAUGCCUUACACAUGCAAGUCGAACGGUAACAGGUCUUCGGAUGCUGACGAGUGGCGAACGGGUGAGUAAUACAUCGGAACGUGCCCGAGAGUGGGGGAUAACGAAGCGAAAGCUUUGCUAAUACCGCAUACGAUCUCAGGAUGAAAGCAGGGGACCGCAAGGCCUUGCGCUCACGGAGCGGCCGAUGGCAGAUUAGGUAGUUGGUGGGAUAAAAGCUUACCAAGCCGACCAUCUGUAGCUGGUCUGAGAGGACGACCAGCCACACUGGGACUGAGACACGGCCCAGACUCCUACGGGAGUCAGCAGUGGGGAAUUUUGGACAAUGGGCGCAAGCCUGAUCCAGCCAUGCCGCGUGCAGGAUGAAGGCCUUCGGGUUGUAAACUGCUUUUGUACGGAACGAAAAGACUCCUUCUAAUAAAGGGGGUCCAUGACGGUACCGUAAGAAUAAGCACCGGCUAACUACGUGCCAGCCGCCGCCGUAAGAC
rnacentral:rRNA from 1 species